rnacentral:misc_RNA from 1 species
GAUGAAGAACGUAGCGAAAUGCGAUAAGUAAUGUGAAUUGCAGAAUUCAGUGAAUCAUCGAAUCUUUGAACGCACCUUGCACCCUUUGGCAUUCCGAAGGGUAUGCUCGUUUGAGUGUCAUUGUACUCUCACACUCUCCGAUCCUAUGGAUUCGGGGAGCGGUGGACUUGGGUGUUGCUGCCUUUCCCUGUGGCUCACCUCAAAUGCGUCAGUGCACCUCUUGGUUGGACAUAGUACGGCGUGAUAAGUGUCUUCGCCGGCACCUCGCAAGAGGGUGGCCGAUCGGGAGCUCUGCGCUUUCAAACCGUCUUCGGACAAUUUCUGACAUCUUGACCUCAAAUCGAGUAGGACUACCCGCUGAACUUAAGCAUAUCAAUGCGGAGGA